GGGAGCGGCGCGGCGGGAAGGCGGGAGCGGCCGCGCCUCAGCGGCGCUGCCCGGGCGGUGACUGAGGCUCGUUCUUGGCGUUCGCUUGGGUGUUGCUGUGCUCCUGUUGUUAUUGUCUUUUGCGGGUAGAGCUACGUGCUGCAAAUAGCUGCAGGGAAGGAGCGAACGCCACCGAGGUCGCAGCAAGGUUCUUUGUACCUCUUGUGUGAUCCGUGCGCUUCGCAGCCGUAUCGUGCCGUAGAAAGACGGCGAAAUAAAUUGUAAUGGAAGGUUUUUAUUUCUUCUAAAGGGCUGGCUGAUGUUCAGAAGAGCGUCUUGCUGUGAGACGGGGAGAGAGUUAAAAGCCAGGAGCUUUGUAGGUGAUAGACUGCAACCGUAGGUUCAAGUACAAUUACAGCCACACUUACAAUUAUUUCUUCUACUUGGUAUUUGCAGGUCUUUCCUGGCUUUGCGAGAAGAUGGGAAAACAGACGGUUGUUUUCUCUACCUUUUCUUUUGUUUUCUUUUCAGUUCCAGGUAGUCAUCAUUAAUUAUGGAUACUCUCAGUUCAGUCAGAGAGAAAAGGAGAGAUUUCUGCCAGGCUGAGCCUGGGAAAAAGUCAGAGAGUAAUGCAAACCAUUUGUUAUCUCUUUCUGUUCAUGUUUAUAGAUAUGUUCUGCCACCGUGUGCUAUUCAUAGUGCACCAAUGGUGUGAAAAGUUUUCACUUGAGACCAAUCAUAUUUCACCUUAGCAAUCUUGGUUAUAAAAGAAGAACACUAAUUGUUAAUAAGGUUUUUAAUUCUUUGCCUUCUGAUGUUAGAAUCAUUUUCUUUCCCAUCCUGCCUUCACAGCGACAAUUAGUGACUUACCAAUGCACAAUAUGAGGAAUUUAUUCCAAUUCAUACUCUGUGAGCAAGGCUAAAGAGCUUUUGAUGCUUGGUCCUGAUGUUCUGUACAAGAUGAGUUUAAAUCAGUGACAGGAAGUGAGUUCAGGGAGCAGGAACUCCCCUGUAAUUCAUUUGUGGUAUAGUUCAUGUAAAAUAUACCAGUGUAGUUUAUUAACAAUCUAAUUAUUAGAGCAGGAUUAAGUGUAUUUUUUGGCACUACUCAGUCUUGUUAGAAUUUUUCCUAGGCUUGUCUGGACAGAAAUACCUACACACCCUUGAGUUUAUGUGCUUGUAAAUAUGUCUUGUCCACAUUAAACAUGUCUCAAAUACUUAGAAAUCCCCCAAAAAAUGUGUAAAAUACUGUUCUUCCCACACAGAAAUACCAGGGCAAUGUGCCUUUAGAGAUGGAGACAUUGCUCUUGGGUUUUUUGUGUAGAACAGACCCCAGUGAGUAAAUUGCUCUUUCUGUGGCAGAGAGGACACGUUGCAGGAGUUGUCCUGGUAAGUGGAUUUGUGGCAGAGAGGGGAAGGUCAGGCUGCCAGUCAGGAGGGAGCAGUGCCACUUCUGCCCCCACAGUGAGCAUUGUUGCCCCGUGAGCUGAGGCAGUGACUUUGGCACGUGGCAAAAACCCCCACCUCAGCUCUGGGACACUUAGAGAAUUCAGAUUCCCCCUUCUUGGUGUGCAUGGUUUGUGUGUUUUACAUUAUACCUUUUACAGUACAGCCAUCAAACCUAAUUUAUGUAGUACUGAGCUGGAGGCAGUGAUGUCCAACAGGACCAUCUCACUGACAGGAACUGGGACUGCAGCACUCUUCAUGAAUUCCUUCAUUAGAAGUACCUUUCCCUACAGGUUGUUUAGAUUCAAAACAAGUGACAAAAAAAGCUUGUUUACAAUAUUUUUCAUGUUCUCUCUUCUUAUUUACUGCAUAUAAGCAAAAGUAAAUUUGCAGAAGCAAAAGAAACAGAUUACUCUGAAAUUCUGGUGUGGUUGACUUAACACUGACACUGAAUAAAAAUAAUGAAAAAAAACUUGGGCAGAAAAGUUCUUGGCUGUUACUCCUAGGUGUAAUUACAUGUUCUUUUAUAGUUGUACAAUUUCCAGCUUUGUCCUGGAAGAAAGAUUUAAUGUGCAAAUGAUUUGCCAAACUGUGUUGAAUUAUGCUUUCUAAUAUAACUGUGGACAUGUUUUUAUGGGAGAUAGGAGUAUUCUGGUUUUUUCUGUAAGAAUUCAUGUGAGGGGUGCAGCUGCUUUUUCUCUUGAUCUGUACUGAGCUCCAUAUUCUAGACUGAGGGACUGAAUCACAGGCCCUAAAUCUCAAUUUGAAAGAAGGGACAUGCCUGUUUGUAAUAAGCAACGAGCUUCAGAACAGCCUACACAGACGUGGUGACUUUCACUGCCACAGUGUCAACUGGUUGUACAAGAGCCAUUGGUUGAGUUGCUUUGAAAUGGGAUAACCAAGGGAACUAAACGUUUGCUCAGUAUUACAGUAGCAGUAAUCUUUCUAAAGCCUUUGUAACAUUAAUCUUUCUGAGCCUUUGUGACCUGAAAGAGGCCCAGCUUUGGUAUGUUGUGACAAGGCUUUGUCAAUGAGAAGUUCACCUUCGUGUCCUAACAGAGAGUCAGCUGUUAAACUCCUGGUAAAUACAAUUAUUGACAGUACAGAGUGAACUCUUAGUAAAACUACAAAUCAGACAAAUGAAACAGGUUUGCUUUAUACCCCUAGGGCAUUUUUAGAUCAACAGUUAUUUAAAUACCAGGAAAUUGUAAAUUGAAGAUAAUAACCCAUGUUAAUAAGUUAAGGAAUUAUGUCAUUUGCUUGCAUACUCAUGUCAGUGCAUGCAUAUUUUGUUACUUUGUCAAUAGUUUCCAAGCUAUUUAAGCCAGUAUGUCUGAGAGCCCAAGAGAACUGGUAACAGAUCCUGUUCUUCCCAGCUGUAAAUUUACAUUCCUGCAGAUCAGUAGCCCAGGGAUUGUGGUUUGGUCCCUUCUGUGCAGUAUUACAUAAUAAAUACUGUAUGUUUUUUCAAUUAAUAUUUUGAUUUUUUAUAAAAUAAUGAAGACUUCUCCUAAGAAUGCUUAAGUCAGAGAAUGUUUUGACCAGUACCUUUAAUUUUGGGAUUCGUGUAACUGAAUUCAGCACCAUGAACAGUUAAAUGUGCAUGUCAGCAACUGAUGUAGGUUUUCACUUAGCAAUCAAAUUCUUUGGUUUCUCUUUUUUUUUUUUUUUUUUCUUGUCUCCUGCAGGAGUGUCAGUAUGUGCUUAAUUACUGAUUUGGAUAGCUAUUUCUGCUGACAAAAGAAUGUCACCGUACUGUGAUUUAUAUUAAUACUCACAGUGCACUGUGCACCUGAAGAACAUGCAGCUGCUGGCCAGUGGGAGACCUGAUGCCUCCUGUGCUUUGCAGACUGUAAAAUUUGCUCUUUUUUAUUUUCUGUUAUGCAGCCAGGUGAGGCUGCUUGUCCUGGUCCUGAAGUGGCAAGGUAAAGCCUUGGUUCUUGGGCUUAAGGCCUUUGUUGUCAUUUUCAGAAGUUCUGGAAUACUAUUCUAGGACUGACAAGAUCUUACGGCAUAGCACCAUUUGUUAAACUUCAUAUGAAAAUACAUACCCCUUUGCCUAUGCUGCCUUUUUUUACUUUCUCUCUGUUCUUCCAGCUUCACAAAUGCAUUUCUGACUCACCUGCAUGAAGCCUUUUGUCAGACAGCAUGCUGCUCCUUCAGCGAAUGUGUUCAUGAAGCCAGGGGAACAAGAUACUCUGUUUGCCUUGACACAGAGAUUUUCUGAAGAACCACUGUUCAUGGCUAUGUUUUUACUUGGAGUACAAAUGGAAUAAAAACAACCUUGUUUUGUGAGGCUAAGGGAUUAGACUGAACAUCAAAAUUGCAAUUUAAGAGUCUGGUGGGCUAUAAAAACCAAUUCCAGUCAGAGGUCGCUCAUUUGGAAAUGGUGAGUGACAGCUGCUGCAGCCUUGGCUGUCUCUCAGUGGUGGUGAACAGACAAAAUUGUAAAUUGAACUUCUGCAUACUUCAGGUGCUGAGUCUUGAGCAGAACCGUAAUUACACAGUGCAUAACCUACAUCAUGUACAUUAUGAAAUGGUAUUUAUUUUUCUUUGGACUAUUAAAUGAGAGAAAA